ensembl:lncRNA
AUGAGCCAGCAGUGUGCCCAGGUGGCCAAGAAGGCCAAUGGCAUCCUGUCUUGUAUCAGGAAUGGUGUGGUGACCAGGACUAGGGAAGUAAUCCUGCUCCUGUACUCAGCAUUGGUGAGGCCUCACCUUGAGUGCUAUGUUCAGUUUUGGGCACCUCAGUACAGAAAGGACAUGGAGGUGCUGGAGCAGGUCCAAAGAAGGGCAACAAGGCUUGGGAAGGGCUUGGGGAAGAUGCCCAAUGAGGAGCGACUGAAGGAACUGGGGCUGUUUAGUCUGGGGAAAAGGAGGCUGAAGGGUGGCCUUAUUGUUCUCUUCCAAUAUCUGAAAGGUGCUUACGGCGAGAGCGGGGUUAGUCUCUUCUCACUGGUGAUAGGUGACAGGAUGAGGGGAAAUGGCCUCAAGUUGUGCCAGGGGAAGUUUAGGUUGGAUAUCAGGAAACACUUCUUUACAGAAAGGGUUGUUAAGCACUGGCAUAGGGUCCCCAGGGAGGUGGCUGAGUCACCAUCCCUGGAUGUGUUUAAAAACGGUUUGGAUGUGGUGCUCAGGGACAUGAUUUAGCGGAGGGUUGUUAGAGUUAGGGUAGGAUGGUUAGGUUGUGGUUGGACUCAAUGAUUUUUAAGGUCUUUUCCAACCUGAGCGAUUCUAUGAUUCUAUGAUUCCUGUAUGAGUCUGCAGUUAUUACAAGCAGUAAGAUAGAAAAUAAAGAUUUUCAAGCCCUUUUUAUUCCUAACCCUAUUCUUAUAACAAUGGUAAUUAGAGCCAGGAAAUAAAUCCCUGAGCUAAAUGAGAUCCUGUUAUUUCGAUCCUAUUAACACUAUGCCCUCUUCCUACCCCUGAAGGCACUUUUGAAUCCAGAAGUAAUCACAGCUCUGAUUAUGUACAUUCUCAAAUUCUAACCCUAACAACACUCCUGAAUUCUAACCCUAAUUAUACUUAACUUUAAUUAUUGAGGGGCCAAUUGAGCCUCAAAAGGGAACAUGACUCAUUGGACCUUUCCCUAAUUCUUUGGCCCUUCAGUGACUGUUAAUAAAAAUGAAAUUUUUAAGGUUUAUUCCCAAGUCUCUCCCCAAACCCCCGCUCUACUCCAAUCUCUGUUCACAGCCUAUGUGUACACUGAAUAAAACAU